GUCCAACAAAUUAAAUAGUUUACACGUGUUGUCUGAACCUUUUCUGUUUCGGACAAACGUUGCUUGCUCUAUAGAGAUUAAUGAGGGUAUUCGCUAGUUAAGCUGAGUUGCUAACAUUUUGGGGUAUAGUUUUAAGUAGGCAAGGCAUCUUGUCUCUCUAUGCACAACCUUGUGGGCCAGCCAGGUACUAAAGAUUGCUUUGUGAUAGUAUGGAUUGUUGCAGAAGAAUACUGUAAUGCUGCAUGACAGGCGUGCUCUUACUGGUGCCAUGGUCUUGGUGGUCAUCUGCAGUGCCUGGGGGUCUACCAGGC